ACAGAGGUCUCAAGCGUUGUUCGGAUUCAUUGGGCGUAAAGGGUGCGUAGGUGGCGCGCUAAGUCAGGUGUGAAAUUUCGGAGCUUAACUCCGAAACUGCAUUUGAUACUGGCGUGCUUGAGGACUGGAGAGGGGACUGGAAUUCACGGUGUAGCAGUGAAAUGCGUAGAGAUCGGGAGGAACAUCAGUGGCGAAGGCGGCCAUCUGGGACAACACUGACGCUGAAGCACGAAAGCGUGGGGAGCAAACAGGA
rnacentral:rRNA from 1 species